CAUCAAUACUGAUGGGUAUGUGUAUACGCAACUAUAUGAGCCUUUUAAAUUUUAUUUUGAUUGAAAACUGUAGUCUUGAAGAACACAAGUGAGGAUCUCUGGAGCUUGAUGUAUCCAUCAAGUUCAUCCAUCAAGUUCAUGAAGAGCAACCCCUGAACUCAGUCGCGUGCCCCAUGGACCCGAAUAUCCUGUACUCUUGCGUCUAGGCAACGAUUCUUCAAAAAGGAGAUUUAAAACCCAGAACGCAUUGAGCAUGAUGACCACGCUUAACGCUGAUGAUGCAGAAAGAAAAGACAGAAUGGCUCUUCUCUGGCAGUUGUUUAACACUGGGUUGGAGUGAAUGGGGCUGGUGCAUAAAUGGAGGGUAAAACUGGACACUUGGGACCCAGCGUAUCCAGGGGAGAGAGCGUGAGCUCCUGGUGCAAAGCAGGGGCAACUGGAAGAAAGAGGAAGGGAUGAAUUCAAGAGAGAACUAGGAUAUGAAAAUAGUGAGAAACAGGAGAGUAAGGUGUCUCCCAUGACUCCCCGGUUUCUGUCUGAGAAG